GCGAAGCGCUUAAGUUUGAUUCUUCGGAUGAAGACUUUUGCGACUGAGCGGCGGACGGGUGAGUAACGCGUGGGUAACCUGCCUCAUACAGGGGGAUAACAGUUAGAAAUGACUGCUAAUACCGCAUAAGACCACGGUACCGCAUGGUGCAUUGGUAAAAACUCCGGUGGUAUGAGAUGGACCCGCGUCUGAUUAGGUAGUUGGUGGGGUAACGGCCUACCAAGCCGACGAUCAGUAGCCGACCUGAGAGGGUGACCGGCCACAUUGGGACUGAGACACGGCCCAGACUCCUACGGGAGGCAGCAGUGGGGAAUAUUGCACAAUGGAGGAAACUCUGAUGCAGCGACGCCGCGUGAAGGAUGAAGUAUUUCGGUAUGUAAACUUCUAUCAGCAGGGAAGAAAAUGACGGUACCUGACUAAGAAGCCCGGCUAACUACGUGCCAGCAGCCGCGGUAAUACGUAGGGGGCAAGCGUUAUCCGGAUUUACUGGGUGUAAAGGGAGCGUAGACGGCACCGCAAGCCAGAUGUGAAAGCCCGGGGCUCAACCCCGGGACUGCAUUUGGAACUGCUGAGCUAGAGUGUCGGAGAGGCAAGUGGAAUUCCUAGUGUAGCGGUGAAAUGCGUAGAUAUUAGGAGGAACACCAGUGGCGAAGGCGGCUUGCUGGACGAUGA
rnacentral:rRNA from 1 species